rnacentral:rRNA from 1 species
AGUGAACGCUGGCGGUAGGCCUAACACAUGCAAGUCGGACGGCAGCACAGUAAGAGCUUGCUCUUACGGGUGGCGAGUGGCGGACGGGUGAGGAAUACAUCGGAAUCUACUUUUUCGUGGGGGAUAACGUAGGGAAACUUACGCUAAUACCGCAUACGACCUACGGGUGAAAGCAGGGGAUCUUCGGACCUUGCGCGAUUGAAUGAGCCGAUGUCGGAUUAGCUAGUUGGCGGGGUAAAGGCCCACCAAGGCGACGAUCCGUAGCUGGUCUGAGAGGAUGAUCAGCCACACUGGAAAUGAGACACGGUCCAGACUCCUACGGGAGGCAGCAGUGGGGAAUAUUGGACAAUGGGCGCAAGCCUGAUCCAGCCAUACCGCGUGGGUGAAGAAGGCCUUCGGGUUGUAAAGCCCUUUUGUUGGGAAAGAAAAGCAGCAGGUUAAUACCCCGCUGUUCUGACGGUACCCAAAGAAUAAGCACCGGCUAACUUCG